rnacentral:lncRNA from 1 species
CCCCUCCACGUGAGGAGACCUUAGAAGCAUGGCAACCAUAGAAUUUCAUUAGAACCAUGGCAACCAUAGAACUUCAUAAUCCUCUCAGCCAGCCAGCAGCAUUGGCCUCCACAGACACAUCAAAUGGCAGCAGCUCUCCUCCCAGCCACAAAUGGAGCAUGGCCAUCAUCAACUUUGAUAGACAGCCAAGAUGGGGGGGAGGGUGUGUAUGUGUAUGUGUGUGUGUGUGUGUGAUUGUGUGUGAGAGAGAGUGUGUGUGUGGUGUGUGAGAGAGAGAGAGUGAGAGAGAGAGAGAGAGUGUGUGAGUGUGAGAGAGAGAGAGAGAGAGAGAGAGAGAGAGAGAGUGUGAGAGUGUGUGUGUGUGUGUGUGUGUGUGAGACCUGCUACUCUUUUUCAGCGUGAGGUUGUUGGCUCCAGAGGUUUGCCAGUUUUUCUGCUUCAUGCGUAUUAAACAUGAACCAUACUGGGAGAUGGUAAUGAGAACAGAACAGUUAACGCUCUCUGCCUGGGUCCUGUUGGAGCAUGCUGUAUGUGAGUGGGUGUGUCUGCACAUGUGCCUGUGUUUCUCCAACUGUUCCUCAGAGUACUGUAUUAUGUGUGUGUGUGUGUGAUCAUAAAGUUAGUGCUGAAGCUGAUGAGAUCAGGCUGAAGCUGAUGAGAUCCACUGUGCUGUGCUGAGAUGAGAUCCACUGUGCUGAGAUCCACUGUGCUGAGAUCCACUGUGUUGAGAUGAGAUCCACUGUGCUGUGCUGAGAUCCACUGUGCUGAGAUGAGAUCCACUGUGCUGAGAUGAGAUCCACUGUGCUGAGAUGAGAUCCACUGUGUUGAGAUGAGAUCCACUGUGCUGAGAAGAGAUCCACUGUGCUGAGAUGAAAUCCACUGUGCUGAGAUGAGGUCCACUGUGCUGAGAUGAAAUCCACUGUGCUGAGAUGAGGUCCACUAUGCUGAGAUCCACUGUGCUGAGAUGAGAUCCACUGUGCUGAGAUGAGAUCCACUGUGCUGAGAUGAGAUCCACUGUGAUGAGAUGAGAUGAGAUCCACUGUGUUGAGAUGAGAUCCACUGUGUUGAGAUGAGAUCCACUGUGCUGAGAUGAGAUCCACUGUGCUGAGAUGAGAUCCACUGUGCUGAGAUCCACUGUGUUGUGAUGAGAUCCACUGUGCAGAGAUGAAAUCCACUGUGCUGAGAUGAAAUCCACUGUGCUGAGAUGAGAUCCACUGUGCUGAGAUGAGAUCCACUGUGCUGAGAUGAGAUCCACUGUGCUGAGAUCCACUGUGCUGAGAUCCACUGUGCUGAGAUCCACUGUGCUGAGAUGAGAUCCACUGUGCUGAGAUGAGAUCCACUGUGCUGAGAUGAGAUCCACUGUGCUGAGAUGAGAUCCACUGUGUUGAGAUGAGAUCCACUGUUGAGAUGAGAUCCACUGUUGAGAUGAGAUCCACUGUGUUGAGAUGAGAUCCACUGUGUUGAGAUGAGAUCCACUGUGUUGAGAUGAGAUCCACUGUGUUGAGAUGAGAUGAGAUCCACUGUGUUGAGAUGAGAUGAGAUCCACUGUGUUGAGAUGAGAUCCACUGUGCUGAGAUGAGAUCCACUGUGCUGAGCUGAAAUCCACUGUGUUGAGAUGAGAUCCACUGUGUUGAGAUGAGAUCCACUGUGUUGAGAUGAGAUCCACUGUGCUGAGAUGAGAUCCACUGUGCUGAGAUGAGAUCCACUGUGCUGAGAUGAAAUCCACUGUGUUGAGAUGAGGUCCACUAUGCUGAGAUCCACUGUGUUGAGAUGAGAUCCACUGUGUUGAGAUGAGAUCCACUGUGCUGAGAUGAGAUCCACUGUGCUGAGAUGAGAUCCACUGUGCUGAGAUGAAAUCCACUGUGUUGAGAUGAGGUCCACUAUGCUGAGAUCCACUGUGUUGAGAUGAGAUCCACUGUGCUGAGAUGAGAUCCACUGUGCUGAGAUGAGAUCCACUGUGCUGAGAUGAGAUCCACUGUGUUGAGAUGAGAUCCACUGUGUUGAGAUGAGAUCCACUGUGCUGAGAUGAGAUCCACUGUGCUGAGAUGAGAUCCAGUGUACUGAGAUGAGGUCCACUGUGUUGAGAUGAGGUCCACUGUGCUGAGAUGAGAUCCACUGUGCUGAGAUGAGAUCCACUGUGCUGAGAUGAGAUCCACUGUGUUGAGAUGAGAUCCACUGUGUUGAGAUGAGAUCCACUGUACUGAGAUGAGGUCCACUGUGUUGAGAUGAGGUCCACUGUGUUGAGAUGAGGUCCACUGUGUUGAGAUGAGGUCCACUGUGUUGAGAUGAGGUCCACUGUGUUGAGAUGAGCCUGCUAGGCUAAAUUCUGGUUAACACUUUUGGACUGUGUCGCAUUUCACUCUCACCCCUGGUCUCUCUCUCCCCAAGUCUCUCUCUCUGAAUUUAAUUAAAUUCACUAUCUCUCUACAGUCUCUCUCUCUACAGUCUCUCUCUCUACAGUCUCUCUCUCUACAGUCUCUCUCUCUAGUCUCUCUCUCUACAGUCUCUCUCUCUACAGUCUCUCUCUCUACAGUCUCUCUCUCUACAGUCUCUCUCUCUACAGUCUCUCUCUCUACAGUCUCUCUCUCUACAGUCUCUCUCUCUACAGUCUCUCUCUCUUUCUCACCUGCGGUGUCUCUUGAUGAGAAGUCUGUCCAUGUAACUGAGACUGUGUUGGGUGAACUCCACCUUCACUGGUCUUCUCUCAGCCCCACUGUCACUCAGGUCUGACUGGGUCCCCAUCACUUCCACUGAUACU